rnacentral:lncRNA from 1 species
GCAAUUGACUUUAUUUUUUUUGCAAUUGACUUUUUAAAUAGUCAUAUAAAUCAGUCACUUUUCUGAAAACUCUUCAACAGGUCUUAUGUAUUUUCUUUUAUCCCCAAAGAGAAGUAUAACAUGCUAAUGAGAAUAAGGUUGUCUCCACUCGAAUACAAAUAUCUUGCUUUGAUGGUGGGGAGGGGCAGACUUCCAAAACCACGUUUAAUCAUUGUUUAGGAUAGUAUGC